CGCGUACUUUCUUAGUCUCAAAAUUCUUGUCUUAGAUUUGUCUAGAUACAGAUGUAUCUAAUACUAAAACGUGACUUGGUACAUUCGUAUUUAGAUAAAUCUAAGACAAAAAUUUUGGGACGGAGGGAGUACGAU
rfam:Triticum aestivum genome assembly, contig: Triticum_aestivum_CS42_TGACv1_scaffold_220718_3B